UACGAACCGAGCGAACGUUGUUCGGAAUCACUGGGCUUAAAGGGCGUGUAGGCGGCCAUACAGGUCCGUUGUGAAAACUCGAGGCUUAACCUCGAGACGUCGAUGGAAACCGUAUGGCUAGAGUCCGGAAGAGGAGAGUGGAAUUCCUGGUGUAGCGGUGAAAUGCGCAGAUAUCAGGAAGAACACCCGUGGCGAAGGCGGCUCUCUGGGGCGGUACUGACGCUGAGACGCGAAAGCGUGGGGAGCGAACAGG
rnacentral:rRNA from 1 species